GGGAAUGAGAAGACAGCUGUAAAUCAUGUCCGGCCUGCUGAUGACAUUCUCCUCUCUUAGCUAAAGGACUGAGGAUGGUACAGCUCCUUGAGUGACUCUGGGCAGGGCGGCGAGAGGGAGCCCCUUAGUCCGUGUUUGGGGAGGAGGAAUUCAGAUCCUGGGAAAAACAGCAAGCAGCAGCAGGUGUGGAGUAAGCAGGGAGUGACCCGUCUGGGACAAUUGCCUAGAAUAAACACUAUUGUCUGCCACAGGCUUUUCUGUGCCAGCCUGGGCCUGCUGAGCUGACCGUGUUUGAAGGGCCAGUCGUGGGCUAAGCUAGGCAAGCUGAGAUCAGUCCUGCAGGAACCUGAGGUCAUCACAGGAUGUGAAGACAGAGGUCAGGAGCCUGUGGGACCAGGAAUGAGCGAGGAGAUCGAAAUGACCUUGAUAGCUACAAGUGGAGAUGGAUCUUUGAGCUAUCAGAUGGAAGGCUGUCUCGCAGACCCAUGCUGGAUUUUACAUAAAUAAGAAAUGUAAGUGUAACUUUGUGGUGCUAAGUCACUGAGCUUUUUGGGUUUGUUUGUUAUU
rnacentral:lncRNA from 1 species